CAAUAGCGUAUAUUCAAGUUGUUGCAGUUAAAAGCUCGUAGUUGAAUUUUGGCGCUGGUUGUGUGGUUUGGACUCACGUUCAACACUGCAGGACUGGGGCUUUCCUUCUAGGGAACUAGUGUGCCAUUUACUUGGUGGGCUAGGGAUCUAGGACUGUUACUUUGAAAAAUUAGAGUGUUUAAAACAGGCUUAUGCUUGAAUACAUUAGCAUGGAAUAACGGAAUAGGACUUUGUCUUAUUUUGUUGGUUUAGGAGACAAAGUAAUGAUUAAUAGGGACGGUUAGGGGCAUUAGUAUUCAACAGUCAGAGGUGAAAUUCUUGGAUUUGUUGAAGACUAACUUCUGCGAAAGCAUUUGCCAGGCACGCUUUCAUUAAUCAGGAACGAAAGUUAGGGGAUCGAAGACGAUUAGAUACCAU
rnacentral:rRNA from 1 species